CACGGACCAAGGAGUUUAGCGUGUGCGCGAGUCAUUGAGUGAUGAAACUCAAAGGCGUAAUGAAAGUGAAGGGAACUUUACGUUUCUGAGGGAGGAUGAGUACGCUCUUUACGGGGCCGCUCCGCACUCCCGGGGCGUCUCUAUCUCAUUGCGAGAGGAGGCGCACCUAGAGCGUACACGCUGAUACCCGAAAGAUGGUGAACUAUGCCUGGCCAGGACGAAGCCAGGGGAAACCCUGGUGGAGGUCCGCAGCGAUUCUGACGUGCAAAUCGAUCGUCGGAGCUGGGUUUAGGGGCGAAAGACCAAUCGAACCAUCUAGUAGCUGGUUCCCUCUGAAGUUUCCCUCAGGAUAGCUUGCGCUCGGACGAGACGAGUCUCAUCCGGUAGAGCGAAUGAUUAGAGGCCUUGGGGUCGAAACGACCUCAACCUAUUCUCAAACUCCAAAUAGAUGAGAACCCUGGCUUUCUUAAACUAUGAAGCCAAGGGGUUUCGGAUCAGAGUGCCAAGUGGGCCAAUUUUGGUAAGCAGAAGUG
rnacentral:rRNA from 1 species